UAGCGGGUAUAACGAGCUCAGGGAAUGAAAUGUCAGUGGCAUAUAAAACAUAAUAUUCGCUCAAGAGUUCCAAUAAUUGAUCAAUUAAACCGUCCUGGUAGACCUUUGUUCUUAAGUAUGACGAAGAUGCACGCAACUCAACGUCAAAAUCCAAUGGCUUAAGCGUACUAGCUUUGGCUUUUCUUGACACAUAAGAAGAAUCCAAGACCUCGAAUAGCGAAGGUGCAAGAGGGAUAAACACACCAGUAUGGCGCGAUAAGUAAAUUAGACUUCGGAUGAUGUGAAAUCUCAUUGGAAAUAAUUGCGAUGACGGUGAACUCAUUAUAACUCCAAGGGCUAUUUGGACUAAAGGAUAGACCAAAGAUUGUAAUUCUGAAGCAACUCCCUUUUCUCUACUCAACCAGGCUGCUUGACUCAAUAAACGAGCCCAAAAGUCUAGAGAAUGCACAUAACUCCAGCUUUGAACAGGCUUUCGAGAAUCCUUACUAGGUUGAUGAAUGGUGUUACGAAGAGUAAUAGCAAGUUGUCGAAUGUAACGGAAUCCGAUUAAAUAACAUGAUUCAGCGUCCAAUAAAAAAAGAUUAACAGCACUAUUUUUCAGGAAAUUAAUUUUAUCGAGUGUAUGAACGGUAGUGUAAGCUGAUUGUCGAGCCAUACCAAGAUAAACCUCUUUUAAAACGAAUUCCAGCAGAGUUAUGUCAGCUGUCAAGCAUAAUGUACGAAGCAAUACAACAGCUGAAAACCGAACGCUGUCAUCACGAGUCGAACUCCAUACUUCAAC